CAGUAGCCACGGUAAAACGAAGGGUGCAAGCGUUAAUCGGAAUUACUGGGCGUAAAGCGUGCGUAGGCGGUUUGUUAAGUCUGCUGUGAAAUCCCCGGGCUCAACCUGGGAAUGGCAGUGGAUACUGGCAAGCUAGAGUGUGUCAGAGGAUGGUGGAAUUCCCGGUGUAGCGGUGAAAUGCGUAGAGAUCGGGAGGAACAUCAGUGGCGAAGGCGGCCAUCUGGGACAACACUGACGCUGAGUCACGAAAGCGUGGGGAGCAAACAGGAUUAGAUACCCGGGUAGUCCCUGUCUCUUAUAC
rnacentral:rRNA from 1 species